UGCCAGCAGCCGCGGUAAUACGGAGGGUGCGAGCGUUAAUCGGAAUUACUGGGCGUAAAGGGCGCGUAGGUGGUUCGAUAAGUCGGAUGUGAAAGCCCCAGGCUUAACUUGGGAAUUGCAUUCGAUACUGUCAGGCUUGAGUAUGGUAGAGGGAAGCGGAAUUCCGGGUGUAGCGGUGAAAUGCGUAGAUAUCCGGAGGAACAUCAGUGGCGAAGGCGGCUUCCUGGACCAAUACUGACACUGAGGCGCGAAGGCGUGGGUAGCGAACGGGAUUAGAUA
rnacentral:rRNA from 1 species